GACGAACGCUGGCGGCGUGCUUAACACAUGCAAGUCGAACGAGGUCCACCGCGUAGCAAUACAAGGGAAGACCUAGUGGCGAACGGGUGCGUAACACGUGAGGAACUUGUCCCGGUCUCUGGGAUAACAGUUGGAAACGACUGCUAAUACCGGAUGACGUCGGAAUCUCGCAUGGGAUACUGACGAAAGGGUUACUGGAUCGGGAGAGCCUCGCGGCCUAUCAGCUUGUUGGUGAGGUAACGGCUCACCAAGGCAUCGACGGGUAGCUGGUCUGAGAGGAUGAUCAGCCACACUGGGACUGAGACACGGCCCAGACUCCUACGGGAGGCAGCAGUGGGGAAUCUUGCGCAAUGGGCGAAAGCCUGACGCAGCAACGCCGCGUGCGGGAAGAAGGCCUCGGGUGUAACCGCUUUCAGAAGGAACGAAAUGACGGUACUUCAGAAGAAGGUGCGGCCAACUACGUCGCCAGCAGCCGACGGUAAAACGUCACGUCG
rnacentral:rRNA from 1 species